rnacentral:rRNA from 1 species
AUUGAACGCUGGCGGCAGGCCUAACACAUGCAAGUCGAGCGGAUGACGGGAGCUUGCUCCUUGAUUCAGCGGCGGACGGGUGAGUAAUGCCUAGGAAUCUGCCUGGUAGUGGGGGACAACGUUUCGAAAGGAACGCUAAUACCGCAUACGUCCUACGGGAGAAAGCAGGGGACCUUCGGGCCUUGCGCUAUCAGAUGAGCCUAGGUCGGAUUAGCUAGUUGGUGGGGUAAUGGCUCACCAAGGCGACGAUCCGUAACUGGUCUGAGAGGAUGAUCAGUCACACUGGAACUGAGACACGGUCCAGACUCCUACGGGAGGCAGCAGUGGGGAAUAUUGGACAAUGGGCGAAAGCCUGAUUCAGCCAUGCCGCGUGUGUGAAGAAGGUCUUCGGAUUGUAAAGCACUUUAAGUUGGGAGGAAGGGCAGUAAGUUAAUACCUUGCUGUUUUGACGUUACCGACAGAAUAAGCACCGGCUAACUCUGUGCCAGCCGCCGCGGUAAAAC